GAUGAACGCUGGCGGCGUGCCUAAUACAUGCAAGUCGAGCGCACCUUCGCUGCGCUUUCCCCUCACACGAUAGCGACGGACGGGUGAGUACCGCGUGGUAAACCUACCUAAACCUCUCGAAUAACUUGGGAUAACAGGAGCAAAUAGCUGCUAAUAUCUUAUACCACAUUAUUCAGUAGUGCAUAACGGUGUAGCUGUCACUCAUAUAUGGAUCCGCGCUGCAUUAGCUAGUUGGUAAGGUAACGGCUUACCAAGGCAACGAUGCGUAGCCGACCUGAGAGGGUGAUCGGCCACACUGGAACUGAGACACGGCCCAGACUCCUACGGGAGGCAGCAGUAGGGAAUCUUCGGCAAUGGGCGAAAGCCUGACCGAGCAACGCCGCGUGAGUGAUGAAGGUCUUCGGAUCGUAAAACUCUGUUAUUAGGGAAGAACAAAUGCGUAAGUAACUAAGCGCGUCUUGACGGUACCUAACCAGAAAGCCACGGCUAACUACGUG
rnacentral:rRNA from 1 species